AGUCCGACACUUUUCAGAUGUGUCGACCAGUCACUAAUAUUGUAGCCAAUCCUAUCCAAACUUCAGGAACGCUACAUAUAAAUUACAGCCGUAUAAUUUUAAUUUUAAAUUAUCAUAAAAUAUAUUAAUUUUUAGCUAUUGGAUCUAAUUCAAUGACAGACGAUUUAAGUAUCUGUCACUUUUUUAUCUAAAUUACUCUUAGAC
rnacentral:lncRNA from 1 species